rnacentral:misc_RNA from 1 species
GUCAACAUUACAAGAUGUGACGACGGGAUGCGCCCAUUGAGGUUGUGAAAAAUGGCCCAGUCAGGUGGUGGCUCGUCCCGACGUGGGGCUCAGGCUCCACUGCCGGGCGCACAUCCUCAUCCACCUCCCCCACACACACACGAUCCUGUGUCCUUACCUUACCACUGGCAUGACAAGCAGGAACUCAUCCAAAGGGAGCUGGAGGAGGCCCGAGCCCGUGCCACGCAGAUGGAGAAGACCAUGAGGUGGUGGUCAGACUGCACUGCCAACUGGAGAGAAAAGUGGAGCAAGGUAAGGAGUGAGCGCAACAAAGCACGGGAGGAGGUGAGGAUCCUCCGUGGGCGUCUCGAGGUCUCCCAGAGAGAGACUGGGGUCCUUAGACGGGAGAAGAACGACCUGGAAGCCCAAAUGGCCCUCAUAACCCAGACACACAUGAUGAGGUCACGGAACAAGGAUGACCUGGUGGAAAAGCCAACCGAUCUGAGAGAUCAGAACAACCACAAAGGAGACUCACCUGAGAGAGAUGGCAGCACUCCCGCCCGUCCAAUCACCCAGACUGAAGCAGAGAAGCUGUCCAGCGAUGAACUCCAGUUCAUCCGCGAUGCCAAGAACACCAACUUCAGCCUCCUAGAGGAAAUGUUUGGCUCUCGUGGAAGCCACCAUGAAGAAAAUGUAAAUGUGGAGGCAGGCAUUCCCCAGAGUGGUGUUGAGAAUGUGUCUGUGUAUGCCCACAAGGCCAGCGAGGCCUCACGCCUAAGUGAGAAGUGCCGUGCGGGACGAGAGGUCAAGGACCUCAUUUGUGAUGAGUACUUGAAAGACAGUGCAGUGAAGGAGAUGCCAGAAAACUGCCACCACCCACAGCGGGAGAAUGACGUGGAAGAGAAACUAAUCCACAAUCAGCAGCAGGAACAAGCAUUCAGAGACAGCGCUAUUUUGCCACCCACUGGGAGUGGCAACAGCAGUACACAGCCGUCCCCAUCCCACAGAAUAUCAACCAUGUCAGACCCCUUGCCAGACACAUGUCACAUCAAUCCCAGAAUAUCUGCAGUGUCGGACCCCAUGAGUGAAGUGUGUGGUGGUAGCGAGUGCAGUGAGGGAGGCUACGAGGAGCCUAUCCGACCCAGCGAUCCCUGUGCCAAUGCCAACCCUGGUGCCAACAGGAGAGGCUGGAGGACAAACAAUGGUGGAAGUGUGAUGGAAAGCAGCACUGGAGGCUCAGUUAUAGAUGACACCGGCAUCACUCCCGAGCAAGAAACCCUCGAGCAGCAGCUGAAGAUGAUGAAGCUGCGGCUGGAAGAAGCCACGAAGACCAUUCAGGCAGAGAGGGACGAAAAAUUGAUACUCCACCGUGAAGUUUCGAAAUGGCAGUCAGAGGCCAACGAAUUACGUGCCCGCCUGGAGGAUAUCCGAGCAUCACGACAGGAGGCCGUCAAGGAAUUGGUUUCACUCCGCACCCAACACCAGAAGGAAGUUCAGUGCUUACAGCUGGAGAUGCUAGAUGAGGCGUCGUCAAGAGAAUGCGUUGAUCGUAGGCUAGCAGAUCUCAGAGCAGAGCUGGAACGUCUGCAAGAAGAAAAUGCCAAAGAAUGGGGCCGUAGAGAGAGGCUAGAGAGCGAAAAAAUAGGCAUGGAACGAGACAACAAGAAGCUUAGAGCGCAGGUCAGUGACUUAGAAGAGAGGUUAGACAAGAGAAACAAACUCGCAGCUUCGACACCUGAUUCUGACGUUGCCCAGCUGAAGCAAGAGAUUGCAGAUAAAUAUAAGGAACUAUCGGAACUCAAGCAUGCACACGCCAAGCUCAAGAAGGUAUUGGCCGACAAGUCAGUGGAACUCCAGCACACAACCCGACGAGCCGACCAGUACGAGAGUGAAGUGAAGCGCCUCAGAGGUCGGGUUGAAGAGCUGAAGAAGGAGCUGGCAGCUUCAGAGGACGAGGUUGAUGGUGCUACCAACAAUAUAAGGAAACUGCAACGAGGGAAUGACGAACUCCAAGAAACAGUUGAGAACCUUGAGCUGCAGGUAGAGCAUCUGCAGUCCCGCCUGCGCUCCUCCCAGGCUGCUUCACUACCUCUGCGUACAGCCAACUUACUCCAGGAUUCGGAUGACGAUCAUGCACAAUUUUGAGGACUGUUGUUAGCCAAUGUGACCAUGACACAGUACAAGAACCACACAUCAGUAAAAUGUACAAAAUAUUUGGGCACCAGUGAAGUCAGAAAUGGAAGUGAUCUAGGCAUAGCUACCUUGAGAAACAAAAGGUACUCAUAGAUGGUAUAUAUAAAUGAUAUAUAUAUAUAUGCAUAUUCACAUAUAUAUUUAAAGGUUUAUAUAACAGUUUUGUAAAUUAUUUUAAAAAAUCUUCAUAAUCGACUUCAUCAUUCACUAAUGAUCAACAUGACAUGACUCCACGUAGAGUUGACCAGUGUAGAGAAAGUUUGCUGGUUAUGACAGUACUAUAAGUCAUGGGCACUUGCUAACCAUUCCCCAUAAAACAAAUAGAAAAGGAACUAAAGCCAGGUUGUGGCCAAGGAAUAAGGAGAGUUAGGAUAUAAGGAGUAUCAAGUAUGCUUGCCUGACACAUUUAAAGUUACUUGUAAGUUACAAGUGCCUCUCAGACAUGUUAAACUAAUUCUCUACUCCGUCUAUGUUAGGUGCAUUAAGCAGUUUGAGUAGUGGUUCAUAACUAAUCAAAGACAGAACUAAGGAAACAGACAAGUACUCUUAUGGACUCAUAAAAAUCAAUACAUUUCACCAGAAACAGAUAUUUAUAUACAUUAGGUAAUUUACAUAUAUAAACUUUAUGAUCUGACUUCUCAGAUAACAUAGCAAAUUUAUGUACACUCAUACACAUACUGUAGAUAUGAUACAGACAUACAAGAUCAUAUAUACAUACACAGAUGUAUAUUUUUUCUAUUUUUAGUCACACUCAUACAAAAAAAAAUCAUGCAUACAUACUGUAUAUUUAGAUAUUCAGUGGCAAUAACAGAUGGAGGCAAAGAAUAUCAUUUAUGGUUAAAAAUUGCAAACUAAGCAUAAUAUAAGAAUUCAUUUAGGUUCAUCACAAAGACAGUGGGAAGAGAUGAUAAUAACAUUUAUCAUGAGGGAAUACAACUUUAUGGUUUGUGAACACCACUGUCAUACGUGAUAAACAGAAUCUUGUGCUGAUGGACGCACUGCCAAGUUCGUCAAACACGCUCCUCAAUGGUAGCUCAAAUGUAAGUGCAGUAAUAUUUACUGUGUAUUGGAGAAGUGUGUUGGAUGCCUGUAAGAACCCUUUUAGCCUUAUAACUGUGGUAUCUGACUGUCAGUUUCAGGCAGGAGAAUGUAGGAUGAAAGGAAAAGAAAUGGCAUAAGUUUCUCUUCUUUGGUAUUUUAUGAAGAUGAUGGUGCAGUUGCCUCAAAAAGUUCCCGUACCCCUUGUGAUUAUUCCUCAUGAUAUGGCACCAUCUCAUUGUUAGCCUAGAUUUUGGGUUAAACAGGUAUUUAUGCUGCAUAAAGUAUUCCAGAUAUCAGAAUGGCAGGCAGUAUUAUGGUAAUAUGGGAAUCGUUAGAACAUCACCAGGGGUAAAGAAUCAUUUAAAGGCAACUGUACUUAGACUGAAGAUUAUUUUCUUUCUUUAAUUCAAUCAUUCAUUUACGUGUAGUUUAAUUGCAAUGAUAUAUAAGGUGUUUACUGCCAAACUUUUCCAAAAUAUGCAAUUAUUUCUAUCCACUCUUCAUUUUUAUUUACAAGAAUUGAGACUGCCAGAUAAGUGCUACAUAAAUGUGUAUGUUAUGUAGAGAAUUAUGUUGAACCUCAAGCAAACUGUGAAGGGGUAAGACAGAGAAGAAUGUAAUUGUGUGUUCAUGUUUUAAUAUUUUCUUUCAGUGUACAGUUUCAUCAAGUUGGAGUUGAUGUUUUUCCGCAAAGAUUAACUAGAGCUGCCGUGUGCUUUUGUGCAGGCAAUGUGACAAUUGAAUGUGCAUUUUGAAGGGAAAUACUUCUUUUAUCUAAUGCCAACAUUAUUAUCCCUCCAUUACUCCCCCAAGUGAUUACUUUUAAGGCCAUUAAAUACUCAUUCUCACUUUCAAUGGAUUUCACUGUUUUGUUACUUGUGUGUUUUGUGUAAUCCAAGUUGAGUAUCUUAUCCACUUUAUAUUUUGAUUCUCAUUUGUUCUUGACUUUAUUUCAAUGAACAUAAAGCAUCUUCUGCACAUGACUGAUAUUUAAAACCAGAUUUAAGGUUUUGUGUUUUUGGAAGGAUAUCCUAACUAGUUAUUGCUGUAUAAAUAAGCUAUGCUACUAAACAUUAUAUUUUUUGUUAAGAAUUAUACACAGAAUCUCUUUUCUUCUAGUACUAGACAUAACUAGCACUCUCUCUAACAUGAAAUCUCAUAGAAUUGGAAAAGAUAAAGUAAGGUAUUCCAUUAAUACAACCCCUCCUCUAAAGCAAUAGUAAUAGAAAUACUUAAUAGAAAUUAUUUUUAGCAAAUUUUGCCAGCUGAUUAGAAAAUAGUAAUAAUGCAAAAGCCAUCCAGACCAUUAUCCUCGUUGAUUAGAUUUCAAGAGUCCCUCCCUGGAUUUUUGUAUAAUUAGAAAAUGGAGAUCGGUUUCUAUGAAAGAAUUCAUCCGCAUGAUUGGUGAUUUCUCGUAAAUUUCCAGUGCUCAGUUAAGGUCUUGAGCAGCUAAAACUAGUUCUAUUCAUAGUAAUGCAAUAUAAUGUAUAACUAGAAGAGUUGUGCUAGUGCAUUUAAAUGACAGGCAUUGUCAAAGCAUGCACAGAAGAUGAACCAAAACUGAUUUUAUUAUAGGUCGCUGCAUCACGGUAGGAUUUAAGCCACGUUUUGUUUUGGUUAGUGACGUGAUAUGUUAUGUGUUAUGUCAAGUGCCACAAAAUAUGACAAAAAAAACACCUAUUUACCUAAGCACAUGAUGGAAAGGAUAUGUAUGUAAGGCUGAAAUUAGUCCUGUUUUAUAUAUAGGAGAAAUAUGUUGUUGAUACAUUGUUUUUAGAUUCUAUAUGAAAAGUUAAUGGGUCUAUGUACUCAUAACUAUUGUGCCAAUAUUUGCAUUAUUGUUAUUAUUUUUAUUCCAGUAGAUCACUUUAUUUUUCAUUUUUAUGGUAAAUACUAACACAAUGUGCCAAGAAUGCUUUUGAGACAUUCAGUUUAUAAGGAAAUAAAUAUGAUGGCAAUAAGAUUUAACAUGAAGAUGAUUUGUAUUUCAUUUGUUUAUUUAUUUAUUCCAGAAAAUUACUGUUGAAGUUGCUACUAGCCAGUCAGCAAUCCUUAUGAUGAAGCUGAUGGCUGUCUAUUUCUAUCAAAAGGAAUUUAAAUUAUUUGCAUUAAUCAUGUUAGAAUAAAGGACCGGGGAGUCAAGGUUAAGCUUGCAAUUGUAGAGAAGUAUAUCUGUGGCAGGGUUGAACGGUAAUAAGGGGAACUUUAAGAGACUGUUGACUUAUAAAAUUAAGAUCGAGAUAUCCUUUUCUGUCCGUAUGGCAUUCCCAUAAUAAAUGGGGAUAAUGUUUCAAUGCCAACUCCAGAUUGAUUAUCAAAGAUUGUACAUGCACAAUACAAGUAUUAGUUAUUUUUAUAUGUAGUAUGAACAUUGAUGCAGUGAAGUGCACCACUUACAAGAUGGUUUGAACUUGAGCACACAAGAUAGCCUAUAAUUGACAAAUGUGGUUAGGUGUCAUUUAUUUGUGUUAUUAUGAAUAUUAAUCAGUAUUUUAUUUUUUAUGUGGUUGAUUAAGGAAGUAAAUGUAGUUGACCUAUAGUGGAGUUCCACAAUCCACUGAAUGUACUAUUGUGUCUUUACUGCACCAUCCACUUUCAGGUAGCCUUCUCUUCUCCUUUGAAAUCCUCAAGAAUUGUUAUACCAUACAUGUGCUUCCCUCUUAUCUGUACAUACUCCCUUUUGAAAGAUAGUGCUAGUAAUGACAAUACUCAGGACAUAGUGGCUAUGAACUUUUUACUUAAGGGCUGAAUUCACUCACUGUUGACAGAAGGGGUCACUGGAGAAGCAAGUGGCUUGUUGAAGGAGAAUGAAAAGGCAAAAUAUGGGAAUGUAAUAUACACUGUAGAAGGGCUAAUCCAUUCCGAGAGUGUAAUUGGUGUACCCUAUUCCUGCCUAUGCCUUAGCAGCAUCUAAGAAAUUCACUCCUACACUCUUGAUAACAGUGUUCCAUUGAAGAAUCUCAUCACUUGUAAUACCCUAACUGUUUAUUUUCUGUAUAUUUUUCCUUUAGCUGUAUCAUUAAUGGACAAAUGUUGGUGAUAAGUGGUUUAAUUAAAUGCUUUAUAAGCAGUCUAAAAUGUUUGUUAUGACUGAUUGAAAUGUAUGUAGAUGUUAAAAUUCUUUUGCACAUGAAAUGUUAUUUCACAUGGUAUGUAUCUUUAUUAACAUUUCAGCAUUUCUCUAAGAAGCUAUAAUUUUGUGCUGAUAGUUUUAUGCACAUUUGGGUUUCAUACUAUCAAAGCCAUAGUGAUAGUGUGCAUAAGGCUGUAUUUUGUAGCAAAUGCUUGAAUUUUCAGUUUCUUGCACAUUGUACAGUUCAGAUAUUGGGCUUCAAAAGUUUAGGUGAAAUAUUCCUUUUUUAUAUAGAUGUUAAGUAUAGACUGUAAAUUAACAUUCAUUGUAUGGGGCUUUGCAUAGAGAUAGGAAUAAGGUGUGCAUCACCUAACUGAAACAAAACUGAACAGCUUGGUAAAUUGCCUACUCCAGUAACAGUGCAGGGGAUUUGUCUGCAGCUGAGCAAUAACCAUUAUUUUUGUAGUAACUUGCAUGCAAAUCCCACCCCUCUCCCUCUGGCAUCGGAAGGGAAGUGUAGAUGAGAAGUGCAUGACUGUAGAACUUAUGAUUUGUUAUAAGAUGAAACUUAAAGAGAUGUACAUUUACAGAAGGGAAAGUUAGUUUAGUCCAGUACAUGUUAUUGAUAUUAUAUACCAUGUAUUAAAUGAAAUUGAUUAGCAGAAAUCCAACAGUAAGAGUGGCAAUAGCGUUCAUGUUUUGCAACUAGAUUCUGGAUUUCAUAAGUUGAAUUGCUAAACUUGUAGAAGGGAAACAAGUUUUCUUGAGUUCAAGAUUUAGUGUCACUUCAGAAAUAAAAUUGGGAACUGGAACAGUUUUAUAAUAGGAAUGUCCAAUUAAAAGGUUGAUAAUGCUGCUUUAGUUCUUUCAUCAUUUAAUUUACUAAAAAUUUUGCAUUAUCCUAUAUCAGCCCAAUAUGUGAAGUGGCAUGUUUUGGCCACAAAAAAGCAGAAUUUAAAAAAUCUGUGAAAAUGUAUUUUGCUUUUCAGUUAACAGGCAGUGCAUAAAGUAUUCCAUUGGUUAUAUGAAAUUUUUAACUUUCUUUUAUUUUAGAAUGAAAUAAUCAUUAAUGUCUCCUAAAGAAGAAAAAACUUUGAUCCACUGUAUGCUUUAUUUGUUUCUUGUAACUGUGCUCUAAGGCAAGUUGCAUAUACCUGGGGCAUUUCCAUUCCAGAUUCAUUAUUUGUUUUCUGUUUUUUUAACUGGGGCAUUAUAUUUUAGGUAAAUAAUGUUAAUUUGGAGAGAGAGAUUUACACAGCAAUAAAGGUAUGUGUUUGGUAAAGGUACUCCUCGAUAUUUUUAGCUACUGGUGCUCAAAGAAUAUAUUACAACAGGCUUUUUGGCUUUUGGAAGCGACUGUGGUUUUGGUUGCUUGUUCUGUGUAAUUACGAGAGUAUGAUUUAUUGAUUAUUCUUUUUUCUCCUUUGUUAUCAUAAUUUUUUAUGGAGAUUUAAUGUUACUUUUUAUGUAUCUUUAUUUAUGUAUCUAGAUUUUUUGGAUUUUUUUUGUGGUUGUUGUGGCAGAGAUGCACUUGGGAGAAUGGUGAAGAUUGGCCAAAAGUAAUAUGUGUGAAUUACACAUCAUUCUAUUGCAAAUAAUGAUCAUGGCCAACCUGUCAAUUGUCAAUUAAUAAAUUAUCACCAUCCAAUCAGUUAUCGGAUAUUUAUCAUCAAUAACUUGCUGAUUAUCAGUUAUUAAUCACCAACCUGUCAGCUAUCAAACAAUUAUCAACACAGUUCUUAAAGUUAUCUCUUAAUAACACAUGGUUCACCUAUUAUCAGUCAUUACUAUUUGUCAAGUGCAUCUCUGACAUGAUUAAAAAAUGAGUUGUUAAAUAUUUUGAAAUGGUUUUAUGUGUUUGCCAGAAUGAUUUUAUUCCCCCCCCCCACCCCAAAGUGUAAUAUUUCUUUGAAUCUUGUUAAGAUCUGCAUAACAUUUAGUUGGUCUGUUGGUAAGGUUAGUGAAACGUACUGAUUAUUGUAAGUAAAGUACCAUGCAACGUUCGCGUGACGUUGCUUGGGAUUAUUUUUUUAUCCUGUGGUUUGGCGAGGCUUUUGAUUCUCAAAUUCAGUCUUAAGUUCUCUUUUGUUAUGUAAUUUAAGAGGAAAGUGAAAGAAAUCGCAGGCAGGUUACUUCAUUGUUGUUGUCGUUGAUUCUAUUGUUUUCUCUUUCAUAUUUCUUUCUGUAUUCUUUUUCUC